CCAGCAGCUGCGGUAAUUCCAGCUCUAAUAGCGUAUAUUAAAGUUGUUGCAGUUAAAAAGCUCGUAGUCGGAAUUCGGGUUCGGGCAGGCUUCUGACCUCUGGGAAGAUGGCAGGCUCGGAUCUUUCUGCCUUGUUUCUGCUUGGGAGUCCUGGUAGGUUAACCCCUAUCUGUGAGUCACAGGCCGUUUACUUUGAAAAAAUUAGAGUGUUCAAAGCAGGCUAUUGCUUGAAUAUAUUAGCAUGGAAUAAUGGAAUAGGACUUUGGUGCUAUUUCGUUGGUUAUGGGACCGAGGUAAUGAUUAAUAGGGACAGUUGGGGCCGUUCAUAUUUCGUUGUCAGAGGUGAAAUUCUUGGAUUUACGAACGAUGAACUUAUGCGAAAGCAUUCGGCAAGGAUGUUUUCAUUGAUCAAGAACGAAAGU
rnacentral:rRNA from 1 species